GUGCACACUUUGGCAGCACAUAUACUAAAAUGGAAAUUAUACAGAGAAGAUUAUUAUGGCUCCUCUGUAAGGAUGACAUGCAAAUUUAUGAAGUCUUCUACAUAUUU
ensembl:snRNA U6 U6 spliceosomal RNA